AGUGAACGCUGGCGGUAGGCCUAACACAUGCAAGUCGAACGGCAGCACAGUAAGAGCUUGCUCUUACGGGUGGCGAGUGGCGGACGGGUGAGGAAUACAUCGGAAUCUACUUUUUCGUGGGGGAUAACGUAGGGAAACUUACGCUAAUACCGCAUACGACCUACGGGUGAAAGCAGGGGAUCUUCGGACCUUGCGCGAUUGAAUGAGCCGAUGUCGGAUUAGCUAGUUGGCUGGGUAAAGGCCCACCAAGGCGACGAUCCGUAGCUGGUCUGAGAGGAUGAUCAGCCACACUGGAACUGAGACACGGUCCAGACUCCUACGGGAGGCAGCAGUGGGGAAUAUUGGACAAUGGGCGCAAGCCUGAUCCAGCCAUACCGCGUGGGUGAAGGAGGCCUUCGGGUUGUAAAGCCCUUUUGUUGGGAAAGAAAAGCAGCAGGUUAAUACCCCGCUGUUCUGACGGUACCCAAAGAAUAAGCACCGGCUAACUUCGUG
rnacentral:rRNA from 1 species